CGAUUGCGAAGGCAGCUCACAAAGCUAAUAUUGACGCUGAUGCACGAAAGUGUGGGGAUCAAACAGGAUUAGAUACCCUGGUAGUCCACACUGUAAACGAUGAUAACUCGCUGUCGGCGAUACACAGUCGGUGGCCAAGCGAAAGCGAUAAGUUAUCCACCUGGGGAGUACGACCGCAAGGUUGAAACUCAAAGGAAUUGACGGGGGCCCGCACAAGCGGAGGAACAUGUGGUUUAAUUCGAUGAUACGCGAGGAACCUUACCCGGGCUCGAACGGUGCAUGAAUAGAUCAGAGAUGGUUUAGUCCUUCGGGACAUGUAUCGAGGUGCUGCAUGGUUGUCGUCAGCUCGUGCCGUGAGGUGUCGGCUUAAGUGCCAUAACGAGCGCAACCCUUGUCGUUAGUUGCCAUCAGGUAAUGCUGGGAACUCUAGCGAGACUGCCACCGUAAGGUGCGAGGAAGGGGGGGAUGACGUCAAAUCAGCACGGCCCUUACGUCCGGGGCGACACACGUGUUACAAUGGCAGGUACAGAGGGCAGCUACCCAGCGAUGGGGUGCGAAUCUCGAAAGCCUGUCUCAGUUCGGAUCGGAGUCUGCAACUCGACUCCGUGAAGUUGGAUUCGCUAGUAAUCGCGCAUCAGCCAUGGCGCGGUGAAUACGUUCCCGGGCCUUGUACACACCGCCCGUCAAGCCAUGGAAGCUGGGGGUGCCUGAAGUUCGUUACCGCAAGGAGCGACCUAGGGCAAAACUGGUAACUGAGGCUAAGUCGUAACAAGGUAGCCGUACCGGAAGGUGUGGCUGGAUCACCUCCUU
rnacentral:rRNA from 1 species